rnacentral:rRNA from 2 species
UGGGGAAUAUUGCGCAAUGGGCGAAAGCCUGACGCAGCAACGCCGUGUGAGGGAUGAAGGCUUUCGGGUCGUAAACCUCUGUCAGAAGGGAAGAACGGAUAAUGGUCCAAUAGGCCAUCAUUUUGACGGUACCUUCAGAGGAAGCACCGGCUAACUCCGUGCCAGCAGCCGCGGUAAUACGGAGGGUGCAAGCGUUAUUCGGAAUUACUGGGCGUAAAGUGCACGUAGGCCGCUUUGUAAGUCAGGGGUGAAAGCCCACGGCUCAACCGUGGAACUGCCCUUGAAACUGCAGAGCUUGAAUCCUGGAGAGGGUGGCGGAAUUCCUGGUGUAGGAGUGAAAUCCGUAGAUAUCAGGAGGAACACCGGUGGCGGAGGCGGCCACCUGGACAGGUAUUGACGCUGAGGUGCGAAAGUGUGGGGAGCAAACAGG